rnacentral:rRNA from 1 species
UACGAAGGGGGCUAGCGUUGCUCGGAAUCACUGGGCGUAAAGCGCACGUAGGCGGAUUGCUAAGUCAGGGGUGAAAUCCUGGAGCUCAACUCCAGAACUGUCUUUGAUACUGGCGAUCUUGAGUCCGGGAGAGGUGAGUGGAACUGCGAGUGUAGAGGUGAAAUUCGUAGAUAUUCGCAAGAACACCAGUGGCGAAGGCGGCUCACUGGCCCGGUACUGACGCUGAGGUGCGAAAGCGUGGGGAGCAAACGGG